rnacentral:tRNA from 1 species
AAUUAUAUAUUCAAUUAUGAUUUUAAAUUGCAAAUUUAAAGGUGGCUUAGGCCUAUAGUUU